GAUGAACGCUGGCGGCGUGCCUAAUACAUGCAAGUCGAGCGAACGGACGAGAAGCUUGCUUCUCUAAUGUUAGCGGCGGACGGGUGAGUAACACGUGGAUAACCUACCUAUAAGACUGGGAUAACUUCGGGAAACCGGAGCUAAUACCGGAUAAUAUUUUGAACCGCAUGGUUCAAAAGUGAAAGACGGUCUUGCUGUCACUUAUAGAUGGAUCCGCGCUGCAUUAGCUAGUUGGUAAGGUAACGGCUUACCAAGGCAACGAUGCAUAGCCGACCUGAGAGGGUGAUCGGCCACACUGGAACUGAGACACGGUCCAGACUCCUACGGGAGGCAGCAGUAGGGAAUCUUCCGCAAUGGGCGAAAGCCUGACGGAGCAACGCCGCGUGAGUGAUGAAGGUCUUCGGAUCGUAAAACUCUGUUAUUAGGGAAGAACAUAUGUGUAAGUAACUGUGCACAUCUUGACGGUACCUAAUCAGAAAGCCACGGCUAACUACGUG
rnacentral:rRNA from 1 species